CAGGGGGAUGUCACAAAGCCAUUGGGCCCCAGCAGCAGCACUUUGUGGUCAGGGCACAGAGCUGUGGGAAACCCAUCUGCCUCUCUCAGACCAAGCAGUGGAAGCGACGUGUCCCACCACACAAGGAAGCCUCUCAACUCCCAGACCAUCCUCUCUUUUGCUCCUCGCUAUUUAGAGAGCCUGUGGAAAGUGGGACAACUCCAACACUGGUGACUGGGAGUUACCCACCCCCUAAGACUCAGGAUGCUCCAGAGGAGGCUGGAGAAGAACAAACUGAUGGGCACCUCCAGAAGGAAGGAAAAGGGGGCACAGCAAUGCCUGACACACCUUAAGCAGAGAGCAAACAAGAGAGAGGGAGGUGAGCAGCAUUUAUGGCUGUGACCUUGGGGCUUUCAGCACGUCUUGCUCUAUAUAGGGGGCAGUUUUCUUUGACAGAGUUGCAACACUGCAAUAACCUCCUGCACUCAGUAACAGAGGGAGGGACGUGCCUGUGUGCUUAGAAAUAAAAAUCAAGCAUUAAA